rnacentral:rRNA from 1 species
UACGUAGGGGGCUAGCGUUGUCCGGAAUCAUUGGGCGUAAAGCGCGUGUAGGCGGCCCGGUAAGUCCGCUGUGAAAGUCGGGGGCUCAACCCUCGAAUGCCGGUGGAUACUGUCGGGCUCGAGUACGGGAGAGGCGAGUGGAAUUCCUGGUGUAGCGGUGAAAUGCGCAGACAUCAGGAGGAACACCGAUUGCGAAGGCAGCUCGCUGGAACGUUACUGACGCUGAGACGCGAAAGCGUGGGGAGCAAACAGG